rnacentral:lncRNA from 1 species
UUUGAAAAGUCUUCUGAAUAAUUCCAAACUGGAACAAACAAGAUUAGAAGCUGAAUUUUCAAAACUAAAGGAACAAUACCAACAAUUGGAUAUUACAUCAACCAAGCUGAAUAACCAGUGUGAGCAGGGCUCUGAGAGUCUGAGUGGAAGUCCACAGGCAACUUGAGGCCUAGACUUGGAACUGUUACACCAUCACUUCCACCUCUUUCUCUUGGCCAAAAGCAUUCCAAAUUCAAGAAGAAGGAAAAUAGAUUCCACUUCUUUACGGGAAAAGUGAGAAGUCACAUUGCAAGAGGGCAUAGGUACAGGGAAGAAAAUAAAUGCAUUCAGUUUUUUAAUGAAUCUACCACAUAUGUUAUGUUUCAAUUUAACAACAUACAGAUAAAUAAAACCAACGUAGUAUGAUAUUCACAGUUACA